UACGUAGGGGGCAAGCGUUGUCCGGAAUUAUUGGGCGUAAAGAGCGUGUAGGCGGUCCGGUAAGUCAGCUGUGAAAGUCAAGGGCUCAACCCUUGAAAGCCGGUUGAUACUGUCGGGCUAGAGUCCGGAAGAGGCGAGUGGAAUUCCCGGUGUAGCGGUGAAAUGCGCAGAUAUCGGGAGGAACACCAAUGGCGGAGGCAGCUCGCUGGGACGGUACUGACGCUGAGACGCGAAAGCGUGGGGAGCAAACAGG
rnacentral:rRNA from 1 species